GGAUUGAGGGUGAUCUGGCUGCUAUAUCUGUCAUCCCAUACAUGGCCAGGGUGGAUCGGCUGAUCUGGCUGCCUCGGCAGGUGUUUCCUUCCUCCCUCCCCACUGCUCCAUACGUGUUCCUCCCAGAGCUGCAUGCUCAGUUGAUCAAAAGGACAACCUUCCCUGCGACAGGAGGAUGGUUCUCUGGUCAGUAGUGUAUAAGUACCUAAGGUCCCUUGGUAGGACCUUCAAACAAGCUCUCAAGGCCCAUUUGUAGAAGAAUAUGAGAUUCCAGACACAUCCAAAUAAGGCACUGUGUAUGGCAGUCUGUCUUU
rnacentral:snRNA from 1 species